UCCCGGUUACCCGGGCAGUCUCCUAUGACAUAGUAACAUAGGAUGAGGGUUGCGUUCGUUUCGAGAAUUAACCCGACACCUUGAGGCACGAACUGACGACAACCAUGCACCAACUGUGCUACGCCCCCGAAGGGUAAUACGGAUCACCCGUAUGACACAUAGCAUGUCAAGUGAAGGUAAGAUUUCUGGCUUAUUAUCCAAUUACUCGAGACAAUCCACCUCUUGUGUGUUCCCCCGCCUAUCCCUUUGAGUUUCACUCUUGCGAGUAUACUACCCAGGCGAUCUGCUUAACCCGUUAGGUAACAGCACUUGGGGUAUAAGCCCAAACACUUAGCAGACAUAAUUUACGGCUCGGACUAC
rnacentral:misc_RNA from 1 species